rnacentral:rRNA from 1 species
AAAUUGAAGAGUUUGAUCAUGGCUCAGAUUGAACGCUGGCGGCAGGCCUAACACAUGCAAGUCGAACGGUAACAGGAAGCAGCUUGCUGCUUUGCUGACGAGUGGCGGACGGGUGAGUAAUGUCUGGGAAACUGCCUGAUGGAGGGGGAUAACUACUGGAAACGGUGGCUAAUACCGCAUAAUGUCGCAAGACCAAAGAGGGGGACCUUCGGGCCUCUUGCCAUCAGAUGUGCCCAGAUGGGAUUAGCUUGUUGGUGAGGUAACGGCUCACCAAGGCGACGAUCCCUAGCUGGUCUGAGAGGAUGACCAGCCACACUGGAACUGAGACACGGUCCAGACUCCUACGGGAGGCAGCAGUGGGGAAUAUUGCACAAUGGGCGCAAGCCUGAUGCAGCCAUGCCGCGUGUAUGAAGAAGGCCUUCGGGUUGUAAAGUACUUUCAGCGGGGAGGAAGGUGUUGUGGUUAAUAACCGCAGCAAUUGACGUUACCCGCAGAAGAAGCACCGGCUAACUCCGUGCCAGCAGCCGCGGUAAUACGGAGGGUGCAAGCGUUAAUCGGAAUUACUGGGCGUAAAGCGCACGCAGGCGGUCUGUCAAGUCGGAUGUGAAAUCCCCGGGCUCAACCUGGGAACUGCAUUCGAAACUGGCAGGCUUGAGUCUUGUAGAGGGGGGUAGAAUUCCAGGUGUAGCGGUGAAAUGCGUAGAGAUCUGGAGGAAUACCGGUGGCGAAGGCGGCCCCCUGGACAAAGACUGACGCUCAGGUGCGAAAGCGUGGGGAGCAAACAGGAUUAGAUACCCUGGUAGUCCACGCCGUAAACGAUGUCUACUUGGAGGUUGUGCCCUUGAGGCGUGGCUUCCGGAGCUAACGCGUUAAGUAGACCGCCUGGGGAGUACGGCCGCAAGGUUAAAACUCAAAUGAAUUGACGGGGGCCCGCACAAGCGGUGGAGCAUGUGGUUUAAUUCGAUGCAACGCGAAGAACCUUACCUGGUCUUGACAUCCACGGAAGAAUUCAGAGAUGGAUUUGUGCCUUCGGGAACCGUGAGACAGGUGCUGCAUGGCUGUCGUCAGCUCGUGUUGUGAAAUGUUGGGUUAAGUCCCGCAACGAGCGCAACCCUUAUCCUUUGUUGCCAGCGGUCCGGCCGGGAACUCAAAGGAGACUGCCAGUGAUAAACUGGAGGAAGGUGGGGAUGACGUCAAGUCAUCAUGGCCCUUACGACCAGGGCUACACACGUGCUACAAUGGCGCAUACAAAGAGAAGCGACCUCGCGAGAGCAAGCGGACCUCAUAAAGUGCGUCGUAGUCCGGAUUGGAGUCUGCAACUCGACUCCAUGAAGUCGGAAUCGCUAGUAAUCGUGGAUCAGAAUGCCACGGUGAAUACGUUCCCGGGCCUUGUACACACCGCCCGUCACACCAUGGGAGUGGGUUGCAAAAGAAGUAGGUAGCUUAACCUUCGGGAGGGCGCUUACCACUUUGUGAUUCAUGACUGGGGUGAAGUCGUAACAAGGUAACCGUAGGGGAACCUGCGGUUGGAUCACCUCCUUACCUUAAAGAA